rnacentral:rRNA from 1 species
CAGUAGCCGCGGGAAUACAGAGGGUGCAAGCGUUAAUCGGAUUUACUGGGCGUAAAGGGCGCGUAGGUGGUUAUUUAAGUGAGAUGUGAAAGCCCCGGGCUUAACCUGGGAACUGCAUCUUAUACUGGGUAACUGGAGUGCAGUAGAGGGUAGUGGAAUUUCCGGUGUAGCGGUGAAAUGCGUAGAUAUCGGAAGGAACACCAGUGGCGAAGGCGGCUACCUGGACUGAGACUGACACUGAGGCGCGAGAGCGUGGGGAGCAAACAGGAUUAGAUACCCGCGUAGUCCCUGUCUCUUAUAC